rnacentral:lncRNA from 1 species
UUCUGAAAUGGAGUGGUUGGUGUAUUGUAUAGUUCUAGGGAUUGGAUUUCACUCAAAACCCACCAAAUGACUCCUCCCACAAUAUUAUGAUAUUCCCCAAGUUUUGGACUCAAUCCGAUAUCGAUUGGUCCUUGAAAUCGGACAAUUCAGGUUCGUAGGAAGUUCGUUCAUAAAUGGGGUGGUUGGUGUAUUGUAUAGUUCUAGAGAUUGGAUU